UUUAGGUCUUGAGAUUUGAGAAUAUUCUGUCCUCUAUUCUCCACUUUGGAAUCCUCCCACUGGCCAACGCAAAAUUGCAGCAAGGAAUUCCUCUGCCCAACCCACACAAAAUCUCAUUUGUCAAUUCAGAUAUUGAAGUUUUUGAGCCCAAGGAAUUUUAUAGACAAAAGGCUUAGCUUUUAAAGCUUGCAGUCAACAAUGAAAAGCAUUGAAACUUGAGUUUGAAAAUCAGACCAAGUCUGAUUUCCCUUCACAGCCAGAGUUACUCACACCACAGUACGAGGAGGCGCACCGUGGUGUGCUUUAUUUUAUUAAUUCCACAAAACAACCUUGGAUUGGCAGUCCCAUUUAAAACAAGGAAAGCGAGGCCUGGAUGAGACUUGACUGGCUCUUCUGAACUUUUGCCCGAACCAAAGACUCUCCUCAAGGUUCAGGGAUCUGUUGUGAGCUGUUUCCUCAUUAAUCAUUAUCAACUUCAGAACACCUUUUUUCUACCAUUUUGGUGCUUUUUUUUUGAGGGAGGGGGAGUAAGAUUCCUAGGGAAUUCUCCGAUCCCAUACACUAUCCUGCCCUCCCGCUUCCCUCCCCACCUCCCCUUCUACAGCUGCUCAAGUCACAUAAGGAGACAGUAAUCCCAAGUGGCCUGUUCCUAUGGCUGAGGCACUCACAAGGGGACAGUGGCGGGGAGGGUGUGACACAGGAGGACCUGGGAAAGAAACCAUCUCUCCCUCACCCCUUAGCAAACCCCAGAGGCCUAUGGUGGCCGGUGGCCGGAGUGUGACAUUAUCUUCACCCUUGCCUCCUUUUCAGGGAUUCCUUUUGAUUUCCACCGACCUGAAGUAUGAAACAUCCUUAAAGCAGCAGCUAAGUUUCCAUGGUUGGGAAGGUCUGAACCUCAUAAGUGGACAGUGGAGGGGGAAGCCAGUCGCCUGAUUGCCUGUUUGGAGUCCACUCCAGGAAGUAAAUGGCCCUUAAUCCACAGCUACUGUAAGCCCAGAGGGGAAGACAGUGCACACUGGAUUGUAAAGCCCUUGUGAAGUGCUUAGGCUGACAGUUUUCUUUCUCAAGCCCUCAGGGUCGGAGGCAGGCAAACUGGUUAAAGAGCUAAAUCGGGGUGUGUGUCUGUGUGUGUGGAGGGGUAGGCGUUUCAAUGUGUGUUCGUGUUCGAAUGCACAUUGUGUGUUCCUGUGUUUAUAAGGUGCUGGGGCCGAGAGCUAGCCAUGUGCCUCUGAGGAGGUGCAUGAGAAACUCCGAAGUACAGAUUUGCAUGAGUUCUUGCUGGAGGAGCUCCCUUUAGCUCUCUCUGCAGCCCAGGGUUUUCCCCACUUCCCCGCAUAUUAGAUUUUAUGUUUUUAUAUUUACUGAUACUGUCCCCUGUAUUUAAUUAAACCUGUUUUCUAUUAAUGUCAA